rnacentral:lncRNA from 1 species
CCCAGUGUUUGUAUCAUGGGAUUAUAAUAAGAUAAAGAUCAUCCUAAGGGUUUCUCUAAGACACAGACCUCAUUGAAGACUCUAACCCAAGCCUGUAGGAAAGAUUGGCUACCUGUGGUGUAUCUUCUCUCCACAUACAACCUGCAAUGGAAAGCUGAGUAGAUGUAUUUGAAGUACAGAUUACAUGUGGCAAACACACUGCACGUGAUUCAUCUUCAAGAUAAAUCAGAAUUGCCCGAGAAAAAACUAUGGGCUCUCUAUUGGAUCUCAUCUCCUUCUGUACAAGAAAUAUGAAACAUGGAGUGUCCACUUAAUGAAUACUGGGAUUGGCCAUUUGUAGUACUGAUCUUUGUGAAAUACCAGCUUGAUUUUGUGGUAUGUAUGAACUAAUAAUUCUCACAGUGCAAAGUCAUAUGGGUAUCUCAUUCAAUCUGCUAUUUUUCCC